GUUCAGAAAGCCUAGAAACUAAAGCUGGAAGAAUUAGUGACCUGAUGACAUCAUUUCUGGUCUGACACCAAUUCUACUCCAGCAUGUACCCAGUAGAGCCAGGCCCCCAACACCUGCUACUUCUUCCUGUCUCAGCAGAGAAGAUCUGGGAAAUGAAACUAAGAAAAACAGCAAAAGAAAGUGAUCCAAGAAGAAAACAGCCCUUGGGAGAGAGAAGACAUUUUUCUCUUAGAUAAUUUGUCCAGAACAAAGCUGACAAGAAGUUUGGCAGGAUAAAGGGCCACCAUUUCACAUUUCCAGUGGAAAAAGCACUCAGUGCUCAAACUGAAGAUAUGUGGGAAGAGAGCUGGACUCGCCAUCUGGGAGCAGGAAGGAUGGAGAGGAAGUGAGCUGCUGCUGAAUGCUGCCAAGCUGUCCCCCAAAUAUGCCGUCUUGAGUGGCUGCCUGAUUGUGUAAGAAGACAUAAAAUCCAGAUGGGGAGCCUCUGGGUUUUAAGUUCAUAUAAAGAAGUCAUAUUUUCCAGCACAUCCUAAUUCCAUUUGCUGUGUAUAUGUAAUAGCCAAAUGUCAUUAACAAAGGCCAGAAAUGAGAACAAAAACCCAAGGCAUCAGCUAUGACUGGCUCAACUAUGUGUUCUUAGGAUGACCAUGUUGUGGGUAG
rnacentral:lncRNA from 1 species